rnacentral:rRNA from 1 species
UACAGAGGGUGCGAGCGUUGUUCGGAAUUAUUGGGCGUAAAGGGCGCGUAGGUGGCGCGGGCAGUCAACGGUGAAAGUUCGGGGCUCAACCCUGAAUCGGCCGUCGAUACUCCCGUGCUUGAGCACUGUAGAGGCAGAUGGAAUUCCGGGUGUAGCGGUGGAAUGCGUAGAGAUCCGGAAGAACACCGGUGGCGAAGGCGGUUUGCUGGGCAGUUGCUGACACUGAGGCGCGACAGCGUGGGGGAGCAAACAGG